rnacentral:other from 1 species
AAGACCCAAGGAUAGGUCAUCUUCAGGACGAAGAUUCGAUUAUUCAGGAUGAAUGGUCGGCAAGGAAAGCGAAGGACAUUGGCUGGACGCUAGUAACUAGGAUGGUUACACAAGGAAAGACAAUGGACGCUUAACGGACUAAGGCAAUGCUAUCAGGAUGAUAGAACAAGGACACCGCUUAAGGAUUAAGUGAUGUGAGUUAACUAGGAAAGUUAACGGGCUGGAUUGCCAAGGACACCGCUAGGAUGGCGAUGAUAAGGAAAGUGCUGAAGGAUUCAGCGUACUAUCAAGGAAUAGAUGCAGGGAGCACCUAUUAGUAGCCGGAUUGCUGCGAGUAAGAUUAGACCCCGCUAGGCGAAAGCUUAGUGGGGUUUUCUUUUUUC